ensembl:snRNA U2 U2 spliceosomal RNA
CUCACUGUCCCAGCGAGAGACACCUGCAAAGCACAACACCCCUUGGAGCUAAGAUCAAAGUGUAGCAUCUGUUCUUAUCAGUUUAAUAUCUGAUACGUCCUUUAUUUGAGGACUGUAUAUUAAAUUGAUUUUUGAAACACGGAGAUGGAAUAGGAGCUUGCUCUAUCCACCCCUGCAUUGACCUGGUAUUGCAGUGUCUCCAAGAACGGUAAAAUCUCG